GGAAGGGCGGGGCGCCCAGGCGGGCUCUGCAAGUCGGCUGGGAUCUGGGCUUUCCCGGAUCGCCUGCCAAGAGGAGGAAGGGCAAGGUGGUGGAUCCUAUCCCCUCUUCUCGCUCUCUACUAACUGCCCUAGGCUUCAGAACCCUGUAAAAGGGCAGAGUCGGAGGGGAAGUGCCCCUGAGGACAAGUGGGACGUUAUAGGGUUGUAGCAACUGGUGCCUUGGAUAUAGAAGGAGGGCCUGUCUCUUGGUGAUGUGGGGGUGGCAUAUCUUAGGGCCACAUUUUGGGAAAUGCUUCCUGAGUGGUUUCCAGUUUGAGACUUUGAAGGGCCUCAGUUUCAACAUCUGUCAGUCAGACAAGAAAUCCUUCCAACCCCUCGGCCCAAGGAGAUCCAGAUGGUCAUGGGACAUUUUUGAAGAUGAAUAAAACCUCUAGCCUGGG